GGCAGUUCUCGGGUGAUGCACCCUGGAAUCAGGCUCCCUCCUCUCUGGUUCCAGGGUGCAUCACCCGAGAACCACA
rfam:Myotis davidii contig177042, whole genome shotgun sequence.